GAUAGAAUUAAGGAUGAUUCAAGAAGAUCAAAAACAAAUGUGUAGCAACAUUUGUGGUGAUGAUGGGAUUGUUAAUAGAUCAUCAUCAAUAUCAUCAUCAAAAAAGUUGAAGCAAAUUUUCAUCUCCAUCCACGGAUUCGCCUUCUCGAAAUGGUAUUCAUUUGCCAUUGCCAUUGCCUAAUUUACCAAUUCCUAAUAACCAAAAGCCACUAAAAUCUUGUCGUCCUCCAUCACCUCCUCCAAUGCCGAUUAAUUUGUCGUCUCAAAAUCCGAUUUUUAUGUUACCAAAUACCGAGAAUUUUCACUUAGGAUCAAUACCUUGUUUGAGUCCGGGUAGCAAUGGUGAUGGGGUUCAAGGUGGAUGGCCUCCAAUCCCGGUCCAUGGAAAUGUUGGUUAUACUAAAUUGUGGCAUACAAAUCCUAAUGAGUUUAGUCAUGAUCAGAAUACACAAUAACAUCAACCGCCUUGUUCGAGUUCAUUGGUCAAUAUUUUGUCAUCAUCAACUGUAGUCAAUUUUCCAAUGGAACCCCCUUCAAACCAAAGCUUUUACUCACCAUUGUGGCCAGAUGAGGAUAAGAUGAUGGUUGUUGGUAUGAAGAGGACAUGUCCCUUCCCUUUAGACAACCCUUCGAUACCCACAUUUCACAGUAAAUUCGCUCAUCGUUCACUUAAUUAGCCGGUCAGAUGAAUCGUCAUCAAAUGGAAACAUUAGUGUGGGACUGUGGGUAUCCCGAUUUUCAGGUCAGCUUACCAGAAAGUUGAUCUAAACUUAAAGUUGUAACGAUUCCAACAUAAAGGGGAAUUACGUUGAUGCAUGUUUAAGGCGAAAUGAAAAGUUCGAGUGACAUAAAUAAUGUUACAACGUUGGUUAUUAAUUAAAAUUUACUAAUUACUACC